CAGUAGCCGCGGUAAAACGAAGGGUGCAAGCGUUAAUCGGAAUUACUGGGCGUAAAGCGUGCGUAGGCGGUUUGUUAAGUCUGCUGUGAAAUCCCCGGGCUCAACCUGGGAAUGGCAGCGGAUACUGGCAAGCUGGAGUGUGUCAGAGGAUGGUGGAAUUCCCGGUGUAGCGGUGGAAUGCGUAGAUAUCGGAAGGAACACCGGUGGCGAAGGCGGCUACCUGGACUGAGACUGACACUGAGGCGCGAGAGCGUGGGGAGCAAACAGGAUUAGAUACCCCAGUAGUCCCUGUCUCUUAUAC
rnacentral:rRNA from 1 species